CGAGUUGGCCGGGCGACCGCGGAGAAAUUCGAGGAAAGUCCGGACUUCACAGAGCAGGGUGAUUGCUAACGGCAAUCCGAGGAAACUCGCGGGAAAGUGCCACAGAAAACAGACCGCCGGAGACGGUAAGGGUGAAACGGUGCGGUAAGAGCGCACCAGCACCCCGGGUGACCGGGGUGGCUAGGCAAACCCCACCCGAAGCAAGGCCAAGAAGGCCGCGACCUGGUCGCGGCUGCGCAAGCGCUCGAGGGCUGCUCGCCCGAGCUUGCGGGUAGGCCGCUUGAGGCACCCGGCGACGGUGUGUCCAGAUGGAUGGUCGCCACCUCACCAUGUGAGGGACAGAAUCCGGCUUAGAGGCCAGCUCGUCCG
rnacentral:RNase_P_RNA from 1 species